ensembl:processed_transcript
GACAGUGGGCGGGACUAAGGGGGCCACCUGCAGACACACCCUGGCUUCGGGACCGUCUUCCUUCUCUUCCCCCUCGGGGCCUAGAGGAGGCCACGCGCGGGGUCUCCGAGCUCUAGGGUCCGGAGCUCUAGGGUCCUUUUAUGUAGCAAAGUCAGGCCUGGGAACAGAACUUCAUGUGCUUGUAAAAAGUCUCAGGUGCGUCCUCGUUGUUUUAGAGACUUGGAGAGGAAUGGGGGCGGGGGGAACAAAAUCCGAGGACAGUCGAGCCAAGAAAAGUCGGGGCUUCUAGGAUGCCAACCACGCCAAACAGAUCAAAACCAGGACUGGAGGACUGAAGAUGAAGCCGGCAAAAAGUCACCAGCCACGGCUCUUGUAAGGUAUGCUUCACCUCUCCUGCUAAGUCUUCAUCCCUGUCUAUGAGGACAAAGAAGUUACGGGUUAAAUUGGCGAUGGGCCAGGCGCUCCUUGAGGAUGCUCUAAAGUUCCAGGGAAUCUGAUGCCUUCUUCUAACCAUCACGAAGACAAGUUGGUGAUAGAAAAUGGGAGAACUGAAGACAACCACUUUAUAAAACCCUUGCCUGCUUGAAUUUGUGGUGAUG